AAAGAAACUAACAAGGAUUCCCCUAGUAACGGCGAGUGAAGAGGGAAGAGCUCAAAUUUUAAAUCUGCCUUGUUCCAAGGUCGAGUUGUAAUUUGAAGAAGCGUUUUCUUGGGCUCGCGGCCGGUAGAAGUUCUUUGGAACAGGACAUCAUAGAGGGUGACAAUCCCGUCCGUGACCGGUCGUGCGUUCAUAUACGAUACGCUUUCAAAGAGUCGAGUUGUUUGGGAUUGCAGCUCCAAACGGGUGGUAAACAUCACCUAAGGCUAAAUAUUGGCGAGAGACCGAUAGCGAACAAGUACCGUGAGGGAAAGAUGAAAAGAACUUUGAAAAGAGAGUUAAACAGUACGUGAAAUUGUUGAAAGGGAAACGAUUGAAGUCAGUCGUGCUGGCGCGAAAUCAACCCUCUCGUCUUGAGAUCACAUGGCGCGACGAGCCUCAAAACCGUCACGAAGCGUGAACUCUUGACGAAAAGGUGCACUUUCGUGUCCGCUGGUUAACAUCAAUUUCGAACGUCAUAAAAAGGCUGGAGGGAUGUGGCUCCUUCGGGAGUGUUAUAACCUUUAGCGGAAUGUGGCGUUCGGGAUUGAGGAUUGCAACGAAUACCUUCAGGGCUGUUCCACCUGGCUUCUCAUUGGUAUCCUGGUGACGACAGCUUGCUGACGUCGUUAGGAUCAGCUUCUGAACAGGCUAGAGUGUGAGCAAAUUCGUUAAGGAUGUUAACGUAAUGGCUUUAAACGACC
rnacentral:rRNA from 1 species